UAGUUAUGAAGGAGGUGGUAACUGAUGGUCAUAUUGAAAUUGCUGCAUUGAUGAAAAGGGAAGAGAAAUAUAAGGAGGUCACACAUCAGAAUGAUGUGUGGCAUGGAGCAAAGAACAUUGCAAAGAAAAUCACUACUGCUGCUAAAUCUAAAGACAAUGCAGAUUUGACCUUGUGGGCACCAUCAAUAAGGAACCAUUUUUGGUAUUGUUCAAAAACAUGUGCUAAUGACUCAAAAAAUCUCAAAGUAAGAUUCACAUUGAAGUACUACUGGUUUUUGCAGCAAUACUUAUCUAGUUCGUGCAAACUGUACAUACAUGUGUUAAUAUGUAGUCACCUUAUGUUGUAUUUGGAUUUUACACCAUGUUGUUGAUGAGCAUGAGUGGGUGUUGGAGGAAGGUGUAAAUGGUGGAAAAUGUGAACAUGAUCCUCUUAAUGAAAGUGAGAGAAAGAAGCCAUGGCUUAAGAAAGAGUCUUCUGCCCAUAAAGCACUGGCAAAGAUCAUUCUGGACACUCGCUUUUUAAACACUUUGGUGUAUUAUGUUAACUUCAGUCCAUCAUCUUCUGUCAUCGUCUGCUGGUCAUCGUCAUCGGGU
rnacentral:misc_RNA from 1 species